UACAGAGGUCCCGAGCGUUGUUCGGAUUCAUUGGGCGUAAAGGGUGCGUAGGCGGCCUUCUAAGUUUGAUGUGAAAUCCCGGGGCUCAACCCUGGAAUUGCAUUGAAUACUGGAGGACUAGAGUACCGGAGAGGAAACUGGAAUUUACGGUGUAGCAGUGAAAUGCGUAGAGAUCGUAAGGAAGACCAGUGGCGAAGGCGAGUUUCUGGACGGUAACUGACGCUGAGGCACGAAGGCCAGGGGAGCAAACGGG
rnacentral:rRNA from 1 species